rnacentral:rRNA from 1 species
UACGAAGGGGGCUAGCGUUGCUCGGAAUCACUGGGCGUAAAGCGCACGUAGGCGGCUUUUUAAGUCAGAGGUGAAAUCCUGGAGCUCAACUCCAGAACUGCCUUUGAUACUGGAGAGCUUGAGUCCGGGAGAGGUGAGUGGAACUGCGAGUGUAGAGGUGAAAUACGUAGAUAUCGAGAAGAACACCAAUAGCGAAAGCACUCUGCUGGGCCGACACUGACACUGAGAGACGAAAGCUAGGGGAGCGAAUGGG